rnacentral:rRNA from 1 species
UAGGCGACCGGGUGAGUAACACGUGACUAACCUACCUUCGAGUGGGGGAUAACCUCGGGAAACCGGGGCUAAUACCGCAUAAUAUCUUCGGGAUGAAAAGCCGAAGAUCAAAGGAGCAAUUCGCUGGAAGAGGGAGUCGCGGCUGAUUAGCUAGUUGGCGGGGUAAUGGCCCACCAAGGCUUUGAUCGGUAGCCGGCCUGAGAGGGCGCACGGCCACACUGGAACUGAAACACGGUCCAG